GGAGUUUGGACCGUGUCUCAGUUCCAAUGUGGGGGACCUUCCUCUCAGAACCCCUAGACAUCGUCGGCUUGGUAGGCCGUUACCCUACCAACUACCUAAUGUCGCGCGAGCCCAUCCGUGACCACCAAAGCUUUCAACAUAAGAGGAUGCCCUCCUAUGUGUUACGGGAUAUUAGACGCCGUUUCCAGCGCUUAUCCCCCUGUCACGGGCAAGUUGCUCACGUGUUCCGCACCCUUUUGCCGGUCGCCGCCAUGUAUUGCUACACGCGCUGCCCCUCGACUUGCAUGUGUUAAGCCUGCCGCUAGCGUUCAUC
rnacentral:rRNA from 1 species